rnacentral:rRNA from 1 species
GGGCCCGCACAAGCGGUGGAGCAUGUGGUUUAAUUCGAUGAUACGCGAGGAACCUUACCAGGGCUUAAAUGCAGAACGACCGGGGUGGAAACACCCCUUUCUUCGGACGGUCUGCAAGGUGCUGCAUGGUUGUCGUCAGCUCGUGCUGUGAAGUGUCGGGUUAAGUCCCAUAACGAGCGCAACCCCUAUUUCUAGUUGCCAGCGGUUCGGCCGGGGACUCUAGAGAAACUGCCAGCGUAAGCUGUGAGGAAGGUGGGGAUGACGUCAAAUCAUCACGGCCCUUACGUCCUGGGCCACACACGUGCUACAAUGGUGGGGACAACGAGUCGCGAACCCGCGAGGGUAAGCUAAUCUUCAAACCCCAUCUCAGUUCGGAUCGCAGUCUGCAACUCGACUGCGUGAAGUCGGAAUCGCUAGUAAUCG